UCUUUUUUCCACCUCAUGAAAUAGCAACAUAACUUUUUCGACAAGUCCAUUAUGAAAAUAACCACGGAGCAAAAUGCGAUUAGAGCAUAAAUUGGGUCUGAAUAAAUCAAGUGAAAUAAAUCACUUCUUAUUUUCCAAGUGAAAUUGUGGUAUCAUGUCAAGCAAAGAAGGAUGCUUCGCUAUAACAUCUAUUAGUAACUCUAUUGUUCCUGCAUUGUGGUAUCAUGUCAAGCAAAGAAGGAUGCUUCGCUAUAACAUCUAUUAGUAACUCUACUGUUCUUGCAUCAAAUGAGAAGCCCCUUUCAUUCAUU
rnacentral:lncRNA from 1 species